GGAGGGAGCUAGCUUUGUUCGGAAUUACUGGGCGUAAAGCGUACGUAGGCGGCUAUUCAAGUCAGAGGUGAAAGCCCGGGGCUCAACCCCGGAACUGCCUUUGAAACUAGAUAGCUAGAAUCUUGGAGAGGUCAGUGGAAUUCCGAGUGUAGAGGUGAAAUUCGUAGAUAUUCGGAAGAACACCAGUGGCGAAGGCGACUGACUGGACAAGUAUUGACGCUGAGGUACGAAAGCGUGGGGAGCAAACAGGAUUAGAUACCCUGGUAGUCCACGCCGUAAACGAUGAUAACUAGCUGUCCGGGCACUUGGUGCCUGGGUGGCGCAGCUAACGCAUUAAGUUAUCCGCCUGGGGAGUACGGUCGCAAGAUUA
rnacentral:rRNA from 1 species